AUUGAACGCUGGCGGCAGGCCUAACACAUGCAAGUCGAACGAGUGGCGGACGGGUGAGUAAUGUCUGUGAAACUGCCCGAUGGAGGGGGAUAACUACUGGAAACGGUAGCUAAUACCGCAUACCCUCGGAUGUGCCCAGAUGGGAUUAGCUAGUAGGUGGGGUAAAGGCUCACCUAGGCGACGAUCCCUAGCUGGUCGGAGAGGAUGACCAGCCAAACGGGAACGGAGACACGGUCCAGACUACGACGGGAGGCAGGAGUGGGGAAUAUAGCACAAUGGGAGCAAGCCUGAUGCAGCCAUGCCGCGUGUAUGAAGAAGGCCUUCGGGUUGUAAAGUAAUUUCAGCGGGGAGGCGUUACCCGCAGAAGAAGCACCGGCUAACUCCGUGCCAGCAGCCGCGGUAAUUC
rnacentral:rRNA from 1 species